rnacentral:rRNA from 1 species
ACGCUAGCUACAGGCUUAACACAUGCAAGUCGAGGGGCAGCAUUUUAGUUUGCUUGCAAACUGAAGAUGGCGACCGGCGCACGGGUGAGUAACACGUAUCCAACCUGCCGAUAACUCCGGAAUAGCCUUUCGAAAGAAAGAUUAAUACCGGAUAGCAUACGAAUAUCGCAUGAUAUUUUUAUUAAAGAAUUUCGGUUAUCGAUGGGGAUGCGUUCCAUUAGUUUGUUGGCGGGGUAACGGCCCACCAAGACAACGAUGGAUAGGGGUUCUGAGAGGAAGGUCCCCCACAUUGGAACUGAGACACGGUCCAAACUCCUACGGGAGGCAGCAGUGAGGAAUAUUGGUCAAUGGGCGAGAGCCUGAACCAGCCAAGUAGCGUGAAGGAUGAAGGCUCUAUGGGUCGUAAACUUCUUUUAUAUGGGAAUAAAGUUUUCCACGUGUGGAAUUUUGUAUGUACCAUAUGAAUAAGGAUCGGCUAACUCCGUGCCAGCAGCCGCGGUAAUACGGAGGAUCCGAGCGUUAUCCGGAUUUAUUGGGUUUAAAGGGAGCGUAGGUGGAUUGUUAAGUCAGUUGUGAAAGUUUGCGGCUCAACCGUAAAAUUGCAGUUGAAACUGGCAGUCUUGAGUACAGUAGAGGUGGGCGGAAUUCGUGGUGUAGCGGUGAGAUGCUUAGAUAUCACGAAGAACUCCGAUUGCGAAGGCAGCUCACUAGACUGUCACUGACACUGAUGCUCGAAAGUGUGGGUAUCAAACAGGAUUAGAUACCCUGGUAGUCCACACAGUAAACGAUGAAUACUCGCUGUUUGCGAUAUACAGUAAGCGGCCAAGCGAAAGCAUUAAGUAUUCCACCUGGGGAGUACGCCGGCAACGGUGAAACUCAAAGGAAUUGACGGGGGCCCGCACAAGCGGAGGAACAUGUGGUUUAAUUCGAUGAUACGCGAGGAACCUUACCCGGGCUUAAAUUGCAACAGAAUAUAUUGGAAACAGUAUAGCCGUAAGGCUGUUGUGAAGGUGCUGCAUGGUUGUCGUCAGCUCGUGCCGUGAGGUGUCGGCUUAAGUGCCAUAACGAGCGCAACCCUUAUCUUUAGUUACUAACAGGUUAUGCUGAGGACUCUAGAGAGACUGCCGUCGUAAGAUGUGAGGAAGGUGGGGAUGACGUCAAAUCAGCACGGCCCUUACGUCCGGGGCUACACACGUGUUACAGUGGGGGGUACAGAAGGCGGCUACCUGGUGACAGGAUGCUAAUCCCAAAAACCUCUCUCAGUUCGGAUCGAAGUCUGCAACCCGACUUCGUGAAGCUGGAUUCGCUAGUAAUCGCGCAUCAGCCAUGGCGCGGUGAAUACGUUCCCGGGCCUUGUACACACCGCCCGUCAAGCCAUGAAAGCCGGGGGUACCUGAAGUACGUAACCGCAAGGAGCGUCCUAGGGUAAAACUGGUAAUUGGGGCUAA